UAGUGGUGAAGUCUGAGAUUUUAGUCCACCUGUCACCCGCUGUUCGAAUUUUCUUAGCAUAGUUGUCUAUGCUAAGAAAACUUUUCGCUCAGAAAAUAUUCUAAGGGAGAACUAAAUAAAGGUUCAUGCUUUAUAUGGUAUGUUUAGACCGAGAGAAGCAAGAAUGAGAAGAAACGAAGAGAAAGAAGGAAAGAUGAAAAUGAAUACAAGAUAUGUAGUCAUGCUUGCUACCUCUUCAUGGUGAGUGGGAAGUGGCCCAGGCCACUCACAAGUGAGCCUGCUCGGUGCUUCCCCAGCUGGGCUGCAGUGAGGUACUAUGCCUUGGAGUAGUCUUUGAGCAACGGGAAAGAGGAGGGACUUGUAUUUCCCUCUCUGCUGUCUUUUGUUUCCUAUUAGUAAAGGUUAGCCCAGGUGUAUCAGUUACGGUUUAACCAGAGAAGCAGAACCAAGAGAAAGAUUUUACAUGGGAUUUGUCCCAGGGAAUUGGUUUAUGCAGUUGUGGGAGUUGGUAAAAUGGUGUUCAAAAAGCUGUCUCCAUGUGUAAUGCUGGAGCUUCAAGCCCACUGGGCAGGCGAUCUGAAAGGGAAGAGCAUGGGUAAGCUGUGAGCCCUUGAGGGUGGACUGAAGCUGCAGCCAUUUUUGUUCCCUCUCACUCUCAUGUACAGGGUGGUCUUGUGCAAACCGGAGUGCUUCCUCACAGAGCUAAACACGUACACCUGGCCCAGGAGUCAGACAAGCUGAAGGCAAACUGGGAAGAUAGAUCAAUUUCAGGUCCACAUGCUGCUUCAGGCUAAUGUGGUGAAUUACCCCAUCAGCAACAGGGGUCAGCUGCAAAAUGGUCGCUGCCUUCCUUCUGCCUUCUCAGUCUCAGAAUGGCCACUGCCUUCCUUCUGCCUUCUCAAUCUCAAAAUGGCCACUGCCUUCCUUCUCCGUUCUAAACAGGUGUUGAUUUCUCAUAAACACCCUGCACCCAAACACGAUCUCAGCAUCUACAGAAGCCAAACUGUGACACUCACACUGCAGGACGCUCCCAGGACCUGGCUGAGUGUGAGGAUGCACACCUGACAUCAUCCAAGCUAGACCAGAGACUCUUCCCUGCGGAUUGAGAAUGGUGCUGGAGAGUACUGGUUCAACUCUGCAAUGAGGCCAGACUUAGGAUGACAUUAUUGCGUACCUGGCAUGAAAAGAGAGUACCUGGAACUUUUAUGAGACCAUCCCACCCCUCCAUGCCCUCCUUCCUUCAUCCUUUCUAUAUACUUAUAUAAUGCAUUUUAAAUAAAAUCAAUAAUCAGUGUUA